rnacentral:rRNA from 1 species
AUGAACGCUGGCGGCGUGCCUAACACAUGCAAGUCGAACGAUGAAACCGCCCCCGGGCGGACAUGAAGUGGCGAACGGGUGAGUAACACGUGACCGACCUGCCCCCCGCCCAGGGACAGCCCCCCGAAAGGGGGAUUAAUACCUGGUACUCCGGAAGCGGCGCAUGCCGCCCCCGGGAAAGCUCAGGCGGCGGGGGAUGGGGUCGCGGCCCAUCAGGUAGACGGCGGGGCAGAGGCCCACCGUGCCGACGACGGGUAGCCGGGUUGAGAGACCGACCGGCCACAUUGGGACUGAGAUACGGCCCAGACUCCUACGGGAGGCAGCAGUGGGGAAUUUUGCGCAAUGGGGGCAACCCUGACGCAGCAACGCCGCGUGCGGGACGAAGGCGUCCGCGUCGUAAACCGCUUUCAGCGGGGAACACUUAAACGAGGGUACCCGCAGAAGAAGCCCCGGCUAAAUACGUGCCAGCAGCCGCGGUAAUACGUAUGGGGCGAGCGUUAUCCGGAUUCAUUGGGCGUAAAGCGCGCGUAGGCGGAGCGCUAAGCGGGACCUCUAACCCGAGGGCUCAACCCCCGGCCGGGUCCCGAACUGGCGCUCUCGAGUGCGGUAGGGGAGAGCGGAAUUCCCGGUGUAGCGGUGGAAUGCGCAGAUAUCGGGAAGAACACCGACGGCGAAGGCAGCUCUCUGGGCCGAAACUGACGCUGAGGCGCGAAAGCUGGGGGAGCGAACAGGAUUAGAUACCCUGGUAGUCCCAGCCGUAAACGAUGGGCGCUAGGUGUGGGGGAUGAGAUCCCCCGUGCCGCAGCCAACGCAUUAAGCGCCCCGCCUGGGGAGUACGGCCGCAAGGCUAAAACUCAAAGGAAUUGACGGGGGCCCGCACAAGCAGCGGAGCAUGUGGCUUAAUUCGAAGCAACGCGAAGAACCUUACCAGGGCUUGACAUGCAGGUGAAGCGGCGGAGACGCCGUGGCCGAGAGGAGCCUGCACAGGUGGUGCAUGGCUGUCGUCAGCUCGUGUCGUGAGAUG